GCCCGGAUAGCUCAGUCGGUAGAGCAGGGGAUUGAAAAUCCCCGUGUCCUUGGUUCGAUUCCGAGUCCGGGCA
rfam:Yersinia pestis CO92 complete genome